GUGACUGCGUACCUUUUGUAUAAUGGGUCAGCGACUUAUAUUCUGUAGCAAGGUUAACCGAAUAGGGGAGCCGAAGGGAAACCGAGUCUUAACUGGGCGUUAAGUUGCAGGGUAUAGACCCGAAACCCGGUGAUCUAGCCAUGGGCAGGUUGAAGGUUGGGUAACACUAACUGGAGGACCGAACCGACUAAUGUUGAAAAAUUAGCGGAUGACUUGUGGCUGGGGGUGAAAGGCCAAUCAAACCGGGAGAUAGCUGGUUCUCCCCGAAAGCUAUUUAGGUAGCGCCUCGUGAAUUCAUCUCCGGGGGUAGAGCACUGUUUCGGCAAGGGGGUCAUCCCGACUUACCAACCCGAUGCAAACUGCGAAUACCGGAGAAUGUUAUCACGGGAGACACACGGCGGGUGCUAACGUCCGUCGUGAAGAGGGAAACAACCCAGACCGCCAGCUAAGGUCCCAAAGUCAUGGUUAAGUGGGAAACGAUGUGGGAAGGCCCAGACAGCCAGGAUGUUGGCUUAGAAGCAGCCAUCAUUUAAAGAAAGCGUAAUAGCUCACUGGUCGAGUCGGCCUGCGCGGAAGAUGUAACGGGGCUAAACCAUGCACCGAAGCUGCGGCAGCGACACUAUGUGUUGUUGGGUAGGGGAGCGUUCUGUAAGCCUGUGAAG
rnacentral:rRNA from 1 species